GUUUUAUGAUGUGUGUAUCAAUUUCAGUUCUGCUACUGAACCACUUGAAGACAUUCUAUACCAUAGCUUACCUUGUCUGAUUA
rnacentral:snoRNA from 1 species